CCAACGUUAACGUGAAGAUUAAGUUAAAGUUAGCUCAAGUUGAAUGCAUUCAAUUUAGAUUUAAAUUACUACUUGCCUUUAACGAAUUUUGUUUCACAAUAAAUUCAUAUUAACUCAAUGACAGUGAGCCUUUGGUAAGUGCUAAAGUUGACCACAUAUUAUAUAUUAUGAAUACCUACCUACCUAAUAAUUAACAACAGAAUAAUUUGUUUGAUAAAUGAAUAACAUGAUUCGUUUCAUCAAAGCUCAUCAAAAGAAAACAUCACUAUACUGAAUUGACUAGUGUUUCAAAUUCCACGGAUUAUCUACAAUAAUAUUCAAUAUUCCAUUUCAUCUAUACACCUACAUCAUUUAAAUCUUCUCCUGGUUCUCCGGCAUUAGUAAAACACAAGACAAAUAUAAACCUAUGCAAUUAACAGUUGAGGUAAGUGUACUUAUAUAGUUGAUCUAUAUAUAAAACUUAAUAUAAAAAUUAUAUUAUUAUUUACUAUAAUAAUAUUAUAUAGACUACUUCAAUUCCUGCUCAGUACCAACAAUGGUAGAUUUAUAUUCAUAGACACAAAAAUUAAAUGGGGGUACUUAUCUUAACCCAUCUUAUAAUUAAUUAUUUAUUUUAAGAGAAAAACAAAUAUGUGCCUACCUUAAUCUAAAUCCAAUACUUUUUCUAUUAACUAGUCAUGGCUACUUAGACAUUAGAAAUUAGUUUAUUUAAAUUAAAAAAGUAGGCAAACAAAUUGUUCAUAAAUAAGAUAACCUAUAUUAAUAUUUAAUUUGUAUUUUUUUUAUGUUAAUGUAUUUUAUAUAUAUUUUUUUUUAAUUUAUUUAAUAAAGUGAAUUAAAUUAAAAAGAUUAGUUAAGACUUAUGUGGUACUGAGAAAAAGGGGAAUAAUGUUCUUACUUUUUCACACAUAUAAUUGUUUAAUACUAAUAAUUAAAAGUAGUAAACAAUUAAAUGUUGGAAAAAUAUUAUUCAGUUAAUAGAUGUUUAUACAUCAACAUUAGUUAUGUAAAUUUACAGAUGUAUAUUAUUCUACAAUGUAUAUAUUUAAUUAAAUUGUAUAUUUAUUAGGCUUGUAUCUAUUAUUAUCUAUUCUAUUUAAGUUAUACUUUUUUUUUUAAAUAAUACUUUAGAUUGCCGAAGAUUUUAAGAUUGGUUAUUCUCAAGUUAAUAUAAACUGGAACACAUUUCUUCAUAAUUGGACAAAUUUUACCAACAUUGUUAAACUUAAGAUGAGGUUCAGUAAAGGAUAAACAUGAUUGUGGUCUUAUAUUCAAACAUUAUUCUGCCAAGUGAAUAGAAGUGAU